UAGUGAUCAAAUUAAAUUUCAGCUAACAAAAAACCAAUUUACACAUUAUUCGAAAAACUCGACCCAGAAGCAGAAUUAAUAGUGCUGGAUGGGAUGACGAUUGAUUCAGAUGGGAAUUUGUGGGUGGCUGUUUUCAAUCAAAGUCGUAUGAUAAAGGUCAAUCCUAGAAAACCAGGAAUUAUAGAGGACUUUAUCCAAAUUCCGGGUAAACAGGUUACAUCCGCUGCUUUUGGUGGUCCAAAUUUCGACGAAUUAUACGUAACAACUGGAAGAAUGCCUAUUAAAGGUGUUGCUCCUUCAGCUCCAGAGGAUGGAGGUUUAUACAGAGUGACAGGAUUAAAUGUGAAAGGACUGCCAGCAGCGAGAAUAAUUCUCUAAAUGGCAACAACAGGAUUAAGUUACUCAUAUAAUAAUAAUAUUAAUAAUACAUGUGCAAUGUAUACAUUAAUUAAAACAAGCAUUGGUGGGAAACUAAA